GAUGAACGCUGGCGGCGUGCCUAAUACAUGCGAGUCGAGCGAACGGACGAGAAGCUUGCUUUUCUGAUGUUAGCGGCGGACGGGUGAGUAACACGUGGAUAACCUACCUAUAAGACUGGGAUAACUUCGGGAAACCGGAGCUAAUACCGGAUAAUAUUUUGAACCGCAUGGUUCAAAAGUGAAAGACGGUCUUGCUGUCACUUAUAGAUGGAUCCGCGCUGCAUUAGCUAGUUGGUAAGGUAACGGCUUACCAAGGCAACGAUGCAUAGCCGACCUGAGAGGGUGAUCGGCCACACUGGAACUGAGACACGGUCCAGACUCCUACGGGAGGCAGCAGUAGGGAAUCUUCCGCAAUGGGCUAAAGCCUGACGGAGCAACGCCGCGUGAGUGAUGAAGGUCUUCGGAUCGUAAAACUCUGUUAUUAGGGAAGAACAUAUGUGUAAGUAACUGUGCACAUCUUGACGGUACCUAAUCAGAAAGCCACGGCUAACUACGUG
rnacentral:rRNA from 1 species